rnacentral:rRNA from 1 species
UGAGCAACCUGCCCUUGACUCUGGAAUAACAGCUGGAAACAGCUGCUAAUACCGGAUACGACC